GACGAACGCUGGCGGCGUGCUUAACACAUGCAAGUCGAGCGGUAAGGCCCUUUCGGGGGGUACACGAGCGGCGAACGGGUGAGUAACACGUGGGUGACCUGCCCUCAGCUCUGGGAUAAGCCUGGGAAACCGGGUCUAAUACCGGAUAUGACUCCAUGACGCAUGUUGUGGGGUGGAAAGCCUUGUGCGGCUGAGGAUGGGCCCGCGGCCUAUCAGCUUGUUGGUGGGGGAUGGCCUACCAAGGCGACGACGGGUAGCCGGCCUGAGAGGGCGACCGGCCACACUGGGACUGAGACACGGCCCAGACUCCUACGGGAGGCAGCAGUGGGGAAUCUUGCGCAAUGGGCGAAAGCCUGACGCAGCGACGCCGCGUGAGGGA
rnacentral:rRNA from 1 species